UACGGAGGAUGCAAGCGUUAUCCGGAAUCAUUGGGCGUAAAGCGUCCGUAGGUGGCUUUUCAAGUCUGCCGUCAAAGACCGGGGCUUAACUCCAGAAAGGCGGUGGAAACUGAAUAGCUAGAGUGCAGUAGGGGUAGAGGGAAUUCCCGGUGUAGCGGUGAAAUGCGUAGAGAUCGGGAGGAACACCGGUGGCGAAGGCGGUUCUCUGGGCAUUACCUGACGCUGAGGAGCGAAAGUGUGGGGAGCGAACAGG
rnacentral:rRNA from 1 species